rnacentral:rRNA from 1 species
CCUGGUUGAUCCUGCCAGUAGCAUAUGCUCGUCUCAAAGAUUAAGCCAUGCACGUGUAAGUACACACGGCUGGUACAGUGAAACUGCGAAUGGCUCAUUAAAACAGUUAUGGUUCCUUUGAUUGCUCCAUCUGUUACUUGAAUAACUCUGGUAAUUCUAGAGCCAAUACAUGCCGACGAGCGCGGUCCUUCCGGGAUGCGUGCAUUUAUCAGACCAAGACCAAACCAGGCUUUUUUGGUGACGCUAAAUAACCUCGGGCCGAUCGCACGUCCCCAUGACGGCAGCGAUGCAUUCGGAUGUGUGCCCUAUGAACUUUUGAUGGUACUUUCUGUGCCUACCAUGGUAACCACGGGUAAUGGGGAAUCAGGGUUCGAUUCCGAGAGGGAGCCCGAAAAAUGGCUACCACACCAAGGAAGGCAGCAGGUGCGCAAAUUAACCACUCCCGACUCCGGCAGGUAGUGACGAAAAAUAACAAUACAGGACUCUUUCGAGGCACUGUAAUUGGAACAAGUACACUUUUAAUCCUUUAACGAUUACCCAUUGGAGGGUAAGUCUGAUGCAAGCAGCCACGGUAAUUCCAGCUCCAAUGGCGUAUAUUAAAGUUGCUGCUAUUAAAAAGCUUGUAGUUGGAUCUUGGGAUCGAGCUGGCAGUCCGUCGCGAGGUGAGCUACCGCCUGUCCGAGCCCCUGCCACCUUGAUGCUCUUGCCCGAGUGUCCUGGGGGUCCAAAGCGUUUACUUUGAAAACACGCAAGUGUUCAAACCAGGCCGUAGGAAAAAUGGAACAGGACUCUGGUUCUAUUUUGUUGGUUUUUGGAACUGGGGCCAUGAGACUGCCGGGAGCACUCGUAUUGUGCUGCUACAGGUGAAAUGGACCAGCGCAAGACCAACCGAAGAGAAAGCAUUAGCCAAGAAUGUUUUCAUUAAUCAAGAACAAAAGUCUGAGGUUCGAAGACGAACCGAUACCAUCGUAGCUCUGACCAUAAACUAUGUAGACCAGCGAUCUGGCAGCUUUUUUUCCCCCCAUGACCCGCCGAGCAGCUUCUGAGAAACCAAAGUCUUUGGCUUCCAGGAGAGUAUGGUUGCAAAGCUGAAACUUAAGGAAUUGUCAGAAGGGCACCACCAGGAAACCUCACCCGGCCCAGAAGCAGAAAGGAUUGACAGAUUGAUAGUUCUUUCUCGAUUCUUUGAGUGGUGAUGCAUGGCCGUUCUUACUUGGUGGAGCAAUUUGUCUGGUUAAUUCCGAUAACGAAUGAGACUCCAUGCUAAUUCGUUAUGCGACCCCCCUUCUUCCCCCCAGCGGUCAGCUUUCAACUUCUUAGAGGGACUAGUGGCGUUUAGCCACACGAGAUUGAGCAAUAACAGGUCUAUGAUGCCCUUAGAUGUCCAGGGUCUGCACACGCGCUACACUGAACCGAUCGUCGGUUCUCUAGCCUUCACAGACAGGUGCAGCUAACCCGCUGAACCCCGUUUGCGAUAGGUAUUGCAAUGAGUUCCCAUGAACGAGGAAUUUCCAAUAAGUGCGGGUCAUAAACUUGCAUUGAUUAAGUCCCUGCCCUUUGUACACACUGCCCAUCGCUACUACCGAUUGGAUGGUUUGAGGUCCUUGGAUCGGCCCCCCCGGGGUCGACAACGGCCCAGGUGGAGCGGCGGGAAGACUAUCAAACUUGACUAUCUAGAGGAAGGAAAAGUCGUAUGGGUUGGGUUAGCCUGCCGGGGACG